AGGAACAGAUGGUAAAGUUUUCGGCUUGAUGAUCUUAGUCCAGUAUAUCAUGUUUUGUACAAUGUAUGCAUGACAAAUUGGAUUCCAGGAUGUUGCGACUUCUAUAGAGUCAUGUUCCAGAGGGAGAAGUAGUGGAUGGCGAAGAUGAUGAUGAUGGUGAUUAAGAUGUUCAAGAUUUGCAAGACUAAAUUAUAGACAUCUAUUUUUAGCGGGUAAUAUUUCUUUUUGUCUGGUUUGGUGCAUCUUUUUGACAAUUAAUUAGUGGCUUAAAUGCCAAAUCUUCCACUUGGAUAGUUGCUCUAGUCUAAGCUUUAUAUAUUGUUUAUUUUUAAACAAUAUGCUAUGUCCUUCUUGAUGAUACUUCUACAAAACUUAUUCAUCGAGUUUUGUCCUGGAUUAAUGUCUGGUAAUUAAAAAAAAAUAAGUCAUUUAUAAAGAGAUUAUAAGAACCUCUAAAAAUGUUGAGCAUAAAUGAUAUAAGUUGGGAAGCACUAAUAUAAAUGUUUUUGCUUGCCAACUUUAUUUUCACUAUAGACGAUUUUAAACUAAAGUAAUUUUUUUUUUUUUGGCAACAAACUAAAGUAAUUCAAUACGUACAUUUUUGAGUUAAUAUAUGGGAAAAGCUUUUAAUGACGUGAUAUUAACUCAUAAAAUUAAUAUUUUAUUCUUAUGCCAACUUUCCAAAAAUUGGAUGAAACAAUGAUAAAUAAAUAUUAUGAAAAACAAAUAAAAAGAGUACAUAUAGCGAAACUUAAAUUAAAAAAAAAAAACACAUAGAUUGUUCACUACGCCUCUGAAACCAUUUUCUUUUGCCUUUCUCUGACCUGUCAAACACAAAACAUGUUAACAUAUAUUGCCAAAAUAAUUAUAAAUAAAUUGAAUAUAUUUACGAACAUUUUUUUGAACGUUGUAACUGCUUCAAUUAAUGGAUUGGAAAUUAUCUCAGAGCAUCCUUGAAUGUUGGUAAUCUCUCUAUAUCCCCCUAUAUAUUUUAUACAAAUAUGGACCAUUGUAUCAUACUGUCAAUAUAAAAUAUAGUGGAAUAAACAUAUGAUCUGUUAAAUUCUAACCGUCUAGAACGUCAAUUUUCCAGAAUCGUAGCACGCAACCAGAAUGUAUCAACAUGUCCUGCCAUUUUCCCAUAUGCAACACAAGUGACUCGUUCGAGGCUAAAGGUAGGAUUGAACAAACACACAAUUAUAUAGGAAUAAUAUAAUUUUAUAAGCAUAAUUAUUAAAAUAAAAAACAUUGAUAAUAUAAAUGUACACUUACUUGUUAUCAGUUAAGGCUAAGGAUAUCAUACUGAUAGGGUUGAGAAAUUCACUUCCAACGUUUUGGUUAAAGCCCAACUCCAAAUUUCCAACUGAUAUUAGAGCCCCUAAUAUGUCUAAUAUAAAGUUUAAGAAACGUUAGUAUACAUUUUUAUUCAAUUGUAAUAUAAUAAAAUUACCUAAACAUACGAUAAGGAUAGAGUUAUAACCAAAUGAAAAUUUUGGGAUGAAUUAAUCCCAUUGUAUUUUACGAUGAGAAUUUUCCGGAUGUCUCUUCUUGAAAUAUGAAUUUAACGCGAGUAGUCUUUGAAAAACAAAUAUGAUACUUAUGACGAGUUACCCUGGUAAUUCCCAUAGAAGGGGCUACUUUAAAAUUAGAUAGUCUAAUCUAGCAAUGCUUAUUAGUAUAUAAUAGAAUUUAAGCAUUAAAGAGUUCUUAAGGGUUGCUUGAAUCAUCUGCCCCUAUAAGAACAAAUCGUAUGGUUAGCAAAAUAUUAUAAUAUACAAUAUAAAUUUACUGAGUAUUGUAUGUAUUAUAACCAAUACUCAUAUUUGCAUCCAUCAGUAUCAUAUGACAAUUGUAACCGAACAUUCCAUUCCUCACGGUCCAUUUUUGAACUACUUGGACUCGUAAAGAAACAUUCAAAGAUCGAGUGUCCAACCUAUCGAAAGAUAUAAUAGCUUCCAUGAUAACUAUGUGAUCAAUGAAUGAAAUAGCAACCUUAUAUACUGGAAAAACUACGGCAAAUGGAAAAUGAAAACUAAACAAUGCAAAUAAUAACUUAACAACUCGAUUGAAAUAUUUGAUUAUUAAUAUUAUACUAAAUUUAGGAAAUCGUAAUAAUUAUAAAUAUACAGAUAAAUAGAUUUAGUAUGAAAUAUAUAAUUUUAUCCGAGAAUAUCCGUAUUGAGAUUCUAGUUCUUCAUCCUGUCGAAUUUAUUGUCUCUUAAAUUCAUAUAUUUUCAAAAAAAUAUCAUAAAAACGUGUUUACAAAGUAGCAUAACAGAGUUUCCUUAUUUCUGGUCGAGAUUUUUCCAUUCUGGUUGAGUUUCCUUUUUUGUCGACCAUGCUUUCAGAGCCGUGCUUACCCCUUGUUGAAAAAGGCAAUGGCCUUAGGCCCUAUAAUUUUUAGUUAAUAUUUAGGGCCCCAUUUUGUAUAUAAAUGCAUUAGUUAGUGUUAUAUAUGUUUACAUACAUACUGCACAAAAAAAGGUUGAUUGUAUAUAUCUUUUUUUUUCUAGAAUUUAGUUUGGAUUCUCUUUUUAGAUUUCAAUUAUAAACAUAGUCACUAUAUCUACUAUUUUAGUUUUAUGUGAACAGACCAAAAUCUUAAAUGAAAAUAUCAUUUGAGAAAAAAACUGCCUCAAAUGUUGUCAAAAGAAAAAAAUUGCCUUAGGCCCCUGAAAACGUUCUCACGACACUGCAUGCUUUCAAUUUCUUUUAAAAACUUGCUUGCAGUCAACUUUUUCCUUUUAUUCCUUUUCACUUUCUGAAAUUUAUAAACCCGAAAACUCAAAAAAAAAGUAAUUCGUAUUUGCCUCUUUCCAAUUUUUUUUAAAAAAAGAGGAAACCUCAUAUUUCCAUUUUAUCUUUGUUUUUCUAUUUUCGUUCUUCUCUUAUUUACUUGUUAAGAACUAAAGUCCAUAUUCUCUUGUACCAUGGGAGAAGCAACCAAACAAGCUACCAUGAUGCAGAUUCUUAAUGCUUUGAGAGAAGACAUGAGGUUCAUGCGCCAAGACCUUGGAGAUAGACUGACUAGGGUUGAGCAGAGGCCUCCCUUGCAAGCUGACCGGAAUAUCGAUAGGAUUCUAAAUCCCAACCAACACAAUCCCCCUCCAACUGGUCAAAACAACAGGAGAGAUGGUGUGCGCAUCAACGACAACCCAGAGACUAGUACCAGGAACCAGCAGACUCAUGAAGAUACGGGUCAGCAGUAUGCUCCCUAUCAAAACCAGAGAGAAAGGCUGCAACCAGAUGACUAUGGUGAAGAAGGAGAUGAGGACUACUUACCCCCACCUAGAGCUCCACGCCGGCAAAACCGUAACCAAGGGUUUGAGGAAGAGGACUUCUUGCCCCUACAUAGAGCUCCACGCCAGCAAAACCAUAAUCAAGGGCAGGAACAUAUCAAGAUGACUGCUCCAGGCUUUGCUGGAAAGGUUGAUCCAUAAGCUUACCUUGAUUGGGAAAAGAGGAUGGGUCACAUCUUUGCUUAUUACAACCACCCUGGUCCCAAACGAAUUGCCUUGGCAGUUGAUCAGCUCACUGACAAUGCCCUUUCCUUGUGGGAUAGACUGUGUUCCAACAGAAGAAGAAGUAACCUGAGGCAAUUAGGCUCCUGGUUAGACAUGAAUGACGCAAUGAGACAGACGUUUGUGCCACAACAUUUUCACAGACACUUGCAUAGGAAGUUCAGAUCACUUGAGCAAGGAAGCAAGUCAGUGGAAGAGUACUAUGAAGAGUUUGAGAAACUAAGAAACCGUCUGGACCUUAAUGAGGAUGAAGAGACUACUAUGGAUCAGUUCAUAGAUGGUUACAAGACAGAAUAAGCUGUAAGGUUGAGAGACAAGUUUAUACCGACCUCAAAGACCUAUUUCACUUAGCUGUGCAAGCUGCGCAACGCAUCAAGAAGAAGGGCACCCAAAGCAAGUCUCAAUCUACUUGGAGCUCAAACAACAGCAACUACAAUAAGCCAGUAGAUAAAGGAAAGGUUAUUGAAGGAGACACUCGGCCUAAACCCCACUACACUGAACCCAAUAAGGAUACCAGAACCAAGCCAGCCAGAACUACUAAUCCUCAACAAGCCAGAGACAUCACAUGCUUCAAGUGUAGAGGUCGGGGAAAUAUGGAAAGAAAAUGCCCAAACCAGAGGGUUAGGAUGCUCACUGAUGAUGGCGGUUAUGAGUCCCAUGAUGAAGAAGCACCUGAGGUUCAAGAGGAGUAUGGAGAGAUUUAAUAUUCAGAUGUGUGAGAAAACUUGAUGAUCAUGCGCGUGCUUAGUGUCGUGGUGCAGCCAGCUGAGACCAUCCAAAGAGAAAACAUAUUCUACAGCCGUUGCACCAUAAAAGGCAAGGUAUGUAAUCUUAUCAUAGAUGGAGGGUCUUGCACUAAUGCUGCUAGUGCUUACAUGGUUAGAAAAUACUAAGCAUCCUCAUCCAUAUAGAUUAAGAUGGCUAGAUGAUAAGGUUGAGCUUAAAAUUAAAGAACAAGUAACCAUUCCAUUUAGCAUUGGUAAGUAUCAGGAUGAAGUAGUUUGUGAUGUAGUACCUAUGCAAGCUGGACAUGUAUUGUUAGGAAGACCAUGGCAAUGGGACAGAGAAACCAAACAUGAUGGUCGAUCUAAUAUGUACACAUUCAUGCAUGAUAAGCGUACGAUAAGCUUAGCACCUCUCACACCAGCACAAUUUCAUGAAAUACAUUUGCAAAUGGUUAAGGAGAAAGAGAGAUCUAUUAAGUCUUACUGUCUUAUCCGGCCUAGCUAUGUAAGAAAGGCUGUUGCUACCAAACACACAGUGCUACUAAUGAUCUUUAAGGAGCUUUUGAGUGCAGGUUCUGAUGAGUUCCUUAGCUUUUGGCCUCUUCUGGGUUUACUCUAUAAGCUUGUCUGUUUGUCAAAGCAGCUCAUGGUAUGAAAUCUAUCUGAUGUUCUAUAACUCGGAGUGGUGAUAAAAUAUGUGGGAUCUCUUCUGGAAACACAUCUUUGAACCUGUCAAGGAGCUUAGUAAUCUUUGGGUGAAGUGUAAACCUCAAGAAGUGCACAUUGUGCACUGAUAAACUUGCUUUUCUAGGUUUUGUUGUGAGUUCACAGGGAUGACAGGUUAAUUAGGAAAAGGUGAAAGCAAUUCAGGACUGACAAGAACAAACAAACAUCAGUCAAAUCAGAAGUUUCCAUGGGUUAGCCAGCUUCUACAGGCGUUUUGUCAAAGACUUCAGUAGCAUAGCUGCAACUCUUACUGCUGUGGUGAAGAAGAGUUUUGGGUUUACUUGGGGAAAGGUUCAGCAGGAGGAUUUUCAGGCCUUGAAGAACCGUUUAACUCAUGCCCUAUUACUGGUUUUACCCGACUUCAACAAGACCUUUGGAGUAGAGUGUGAUGCAUCAGGGAUUGGGAUUGGAGCUGUGUUGAUUCAAGAAGGAAAACCCGUGGCUUACUUCAGUGAGAAUCUUGGUGGAGCAACUCUUAACUACCCCACCUAUGAUAAAGAGCUGUAUGCCUUGGUGAAGGCUCUAGAAACAUGGCAACACUACUUGUUGUCUAAGGAGUUUGUGGUGCACACUGAUCAUGAAACUCUCAAGCAUCUAAGAAACCAAACCAAUCUCAAGAGGAGACAUGCCCGCUGGAUGAAUUUUAUAGAGACCUUUCCCUAUAUCAUCAAGUGCAAGUAGGGCAAGGAGAACAUUGUAGCAGAUGCACUCUCAAGAAGGCAUGCCCUGAUUGCAACAAUGGAGGCAAAGGUGAUGGGGUUUGAAUUCAUCAAAGAUCUGUAUGGAGGAGAUCCAGAUCUUGCUGAUAUCUACUCAUCAAGCUGUACAAGAGGACCACAAAGAAAGUUCUACUUACAUGAGGAGUUUCUAUUCAAAGGCAGGAGACUGUGUAUUCCUCAGUGUUCAUUUAGAGACUUAAUCACCAAAGAAGCUCAUGGAGAAGGGCUUAUGGGACACUUUGAAGUAGAUAAGACCCUGGCUGUAGUUAGGAGAACUUUUAUUGGCCGCAUCUCAAGAAGGCAAUAGAGUCUUAUUGUGCAAGAUGUGUAACUUGAAAGAAAGCCAAGUCUAGAGUGCAACCUCAUGGUCUUUACAUGCCAAUGCUGAUUCCUACAGCUCCUUGGAUGGACAUCUCCAUGGAUUUUUUUAUUAGGCUUUCCAAAGAUUCAACACAAGGAUUCAUCUUUAUUGUGGUUGACAGGUUCUCCAAGAUGGCACACUUCAUACCUUGUUCCAAGGUGAAUGACGCGUCCAAGACAACUGAGCUGAUCUUUAAAGAGAUUGUGUGCUUACAUGGAGUACCAAGGACCAUUGUAUCCGACCGAGGCAGCAAAUUAAUUAGCCAAGAACACUAUCAAAGAAGAUGGGUAUAAAGUUUUUAUUCACCACUACUUCUCAUCCCCAUACAGAUGGCCAGAUUGAAGUUGUCAAUAGGACACUCACUACGCUGCUUAGGUCCACUAUUGGGAAGAAUAUGAAGAACUGGGUGGACUGGAUUCUCUUCAUAGAGUUUGCAUACAACCGGACUCAGCACUCAGCUACUAAGAUGUCACCAUUUGAAGCUGCUUAUGGUUUCAAUCCGACCACUCCUUUGGAUCAUAAACCCUUACCUCCAGUAGAAAUCGUCACUCAGCACUAAGCUACUAAGAUGUCACCAUUUGAAGCUGCUUAUGGUUUCAAUCCGACCACUCCUUUGGAUCUUAAACCCUUACCUCCAGUAGAAAUCGUCAGUUUAACUUGUGAAGCUAAGGCUGCUUAUGUCAAGGAGCUCCAUUAGAAGGUUAAAAAGAACUUGGAGAGGAGGACUCAGCAGUAUACUAAACAUGCCAACAAGGGCCACAAGGAAGUUAUAUUUGAGCCGGGAGAGGGGGUUUAGUUACACAAAAUAUAGUUAAAAUAUACUCAAAACUCCAAAAAUACUUAAAUAAUUAUUAAUUCUCUAUCCAAAUAUUUAAACCAAACCAAUUUAAAUGUUAAGUUAGGUACUCUGACACAUGCUAUUCAAAUUUAUAUAUAAUAUUUUCUAUUGUUUAUAUUUUU